rnacentral:rRNA from 1 species
AUGCACGCUGGCGGCGUGCCUAAUCCAUGCAAGUCGAGCGAACAGACGAGGAGCUUGCUCCUCUGACGUUAGCGGCGGACGGGUGAGUAACACGUGGAUAACCUACCUAUAAGACUGGGAUAACUUCGGGAAACCGGAGCUAAUACCGGAUAAUAUAUUGAACCGCAUGGUUCAAUAGUGAAAGACGGUUUUGCUGUCACUUAUAGAUGGAUCCGCGCCGCAUUAGCUAGUUGGUAAGGUAACGGCUUACCAAGGCAACGAUGCGUAGCCGACCUGAGAGGGUGGUGGCCCACACUGAGACUGCGACAGGCUCCAGACUCCUACGGGGGGCGGAAGUAGGGAAUCUUCAGAAAGGGGCGAAAGCUUGACGGAACAAGGCCGCGGAAGUGAUGAAGGUUUGCGGAUCGUAAAACUUUUUUAUGGGGGAAAAAAAAUUGUGUAAUUACCUAGGCACGUCUUAAGGUUACCUAAUCAGAAACCCGGGACUAACUCCGUG